UACGAAGGGGCUAGCGUUGCUCGGAAUCACUGGGCGUAAAGCGCACGUAGGCGGUCUGUUAUGUCGGAUGUGAAAGCCCCUUGGCUUAACUGAGGAAGUGCAUCCGAAACUGGCAGGCUAGAGUACUAAAGAGGGUCGCGGAAUUCCCGGUGUAGAGGUGAAAUUCGUAGAUAUCGGGAGGAACACCGGUGGCGAAGGCGGCGACCUGGGUAGAUACUGACGCUGAGGUGCGAAAGCGUGGGGAGCGAACAGG
rnacentral:rRNA from 1 species